GACGAACGCUGGCGGCGUGCUUAACACAUGCAAGUCGAACGGAAAGGCCUGCUUUCCCUUGUGGAUUGCGGGUACUCGAGUGGCGAACGGGUGAGUAGCACGUGAGUGAUCUGCCCCCAACUUGGGUAUAAGCCUGGGAAACUGGGUCUAAUUCCCGAUAGGACUGCAGGGUGGUGCCUGUGGUGGAAAACGAUUUUCUAGUGGUUGGGGAUGAGCUCGCGGCCUAUCAGCUUGUUGGUGGGGUAAUGGCCUACCGAGGCGGCGACGGGGAGCCGGCCUGGGAGGGUGGACGGCCACAUUGGGACUGGGAUACGGCCCAGACGCCUACGGGAGGCAGCAGUGGGGAAUAUUGCACAAUGGGCGGAAGCCUGAUGCAGCGACGCCGCGUGGGGGAUGACGGCCUUCGGGUUGUAAACUCCUUUCGACCGCGAGGAAGCCACCUGGUUGGAAGGGUGGUGACGGUAGUGGUAGAAGAAGCACCGGCUAACUACGUG
rnacentral:rRNA from 1 species